GGAGAAGAAACAUACGUACCAGUAAAUAAGAACAGAGGUAUUCUCCAGGUAAAGUCAUUUUCGAUUGAACGUGGUUUUGUGAAGGACUCAUAUGGCGAAGACACUGUGAUACCAUUGGCUCAUACUCAAAUCAUUCAGGAUAUUCGAAGCUUAACUUUGCAUGGUGCGAAAAAAUCCAGUGAAUACGAAGACCUGUCACUGGAUGUAGCCACUGGAAACCUGGUCAAUCCAAUAGAACCAUCGUCAAGUCCCCAAGUCCUUCACAGAGUUUCAUCAUCAUCGAUUACACAAAACAUGCUGUAUCUGGUGGACAUCACCUCAGAUGACCCCAUCACUCCUGCCACGAGUCCCAAUAAUGGAGAGGAUAUCUCAUUUGAUUUCAAGGAGGUUGAGAACGCCACCCUCAUAACACAGAGUAGUAACAUUAUGGAGCCUUCUUUGGUCAACUCAGCAUGGCAUAGCGAUUCGGGGGCACCACUCA